rnacentral:lncRNA from 1 species
CCGGCGCCGGCGCGCCGUGCCUUUGCGAGAGCGGAGUUGGGUUCUCCUCAGCACAGACGCGGAGAGCAUCGCGAGGGCGGAGCUGCGUUCUCAUCUGCACAGAUUUCAGUGGUACUGCGAAGGCGGAGCAGAGUUCUCCUCAGAUGAUGAUUAUUCCCCACCUUCUAAGAGACAAAGACCAACGAGCCGCCACAGCCACCAGUCCCAGAACCCGCCAAUGCUGGGGAACGGAAAAUGAGGGAGUUCAACUCUGGCCCUCACAAUCCAGUGGAGGAGACGCAACUCAUCUGCCUCUGUCCCUCUGGGCACGCCUCGUGCCAGGUGCAUCUGUGGACAGGGGCCAUGCUCCUGGGCUUCCAAAGUUGGAGAAAGCUGCCAGGCUCAGGUCUGAAGGCCAGAAUUCUACAGUAAGUCCUACUGAGUCAAGGUGGGAGCAGGGUCGGUAGCUUCCGAGGCUCUGCGGGAGAAUCUGUUUCCUGGCCGUAGAGGUGGCCUGCACUCCUCAGCCUGUGCUGCCCGUCUCGAAUGACUGGAGUUUCCUGCUUCUGUCACUACACCUCCCACCCUCUCCAUCACCUGCUCUGCUCUUACAAGGAUCCGAAGAAAUGGAAUCAUCGUAUCGCUGAUCUACGUAAACAAACUGAAGAAUUGUCUGAAAGAAAAUAUGACAUGAACUUAUGAAUUCAAUAGGUGAAGAUUUACAACUUGAUAAAUCAACUUUGUCAGAGCCACCUAAGCUGAAGAUUCCCUUGAGAACAAGUACUGUCCCUAGUUUCCCAGUGCUGGAAUAUAGAAAAUGGAUGGACAACUGGACCUACCAUGAAAGACUUCUGAAUCCAGGAAGAGAAACUGACUGGGCAACAUGUUAUUCAGAUGGGGUCUUCUUAUGUUGCCCAGGUUGGUCUCAAAUUCCUAGGCUCAAGUGAUUCUGCCCACCUCUGCCUCCCAAAGUGCUGGGAUUACGGGCAUGAGCCAGUGCAUCUGGCCACCUUAUUUUCUAUUACUGGCUCAAUGUAAUGGCUCCAUCUCAGGAACAGCCAAUGAAAG